GCGUAAUAGCUCACUGGUCGAGUCGGCCUGCGCGGAAGAUGUAACGGGGCUAAACCAUGCACCGAAGCUGCGGCAGCGACACUAUGUGUUGUUGGGUAGGGGAGCGUUCUGUAAGCCUGCGAAGGUGACCUGUGAGGGUUGCUGGAGGUAUCAGAAGUGCGAAUGCUGACAUAAGUAACGAUAAAGCGGGUGAAAAGCCCGCUCGCCGGAAGACCAAGGGUUCCUGUCCAACGUUAAUCGGGGCAGGGUGAGUCGACCCCUAAGGCGAGGCCGAAAGGCGUAGUCGAUGGGAAACAGGUUAAUAUUCCUGUACUUGGUGUUACUGCGAAGGGGGGACGGAGAAGGCUAUGUUAGCCGGGCGACGGUUGUCCCGGUUUAAGCAUGUAGGCUGAUUGUCCAGGCAAAUCCGGAUAAUCAAGGCUGAGGUGUGAUGACGAGGCACUACGGUGCUGAAGUAACAAAUGCCCUGCUUCCAGGAAAAGCCUCUAAGCAUCAGGUAACAUUAAAUCGUACCCCAAACCGACACAGGUGGUCAGGUAGAGAAUACCAAGGCGCUUGAGAGAACUCGGGUGAAGGAACUAGGCAAAAUGGUGCCGUAACUUCGGGAGAAGGCACGCUGGUGUGUAGGUGA
rnacentral:rRNA from 1 species